UACAGAGGUCUCAAGCGUUGUUCGGAAUCACUGGGCGUAAAGGGUGCGUAGGUGGCGUGGUAAGUCAGAUGUGAAAGCCUGGGGCUCAACCUCAGAAUUGCAUCCGAUACUGCUGUGCUAGAGUACUGGAGGGGUGACUAGAAUUCUCGGUGUAGCAGUGAAAUGCGUAGAUAUCGAGAGGAAUACCAAAGGCGUAGGCA
rnacentral:rRNA from 1 species